rnacentral:rRNA from 1 species
UACGAAGGGGGCUAGCGUUGCUCGGAAGCACUGGGCGUAAAGGGUGCGUAGGCGGGGCUUUCAGUGAGGGGGGAAAUCCUGGAGCUCAACUCCAGAACUGCCUUUGAUACUGAAGAUCUUGAGUUCGGGAGAGGUGAGUGGAACUGCGAGUGUAGAGGUGAAAUUCGUAGAUAUUCGCAAGAACACCAGUGGCGAAGGCGGCUCACUGGCCCGAUACUGACGCUGAGGCACGAAAGCGUGGGGAGCAAACAGG